rnacentral:lncRNA from 1 species
UGAGUGUGACAGUUAUGACUGGACAGAUUUAGCAGUCUCUUUUGAGAUGUUCUAUGUGUUUACCCGUUCUCAGAAAUAUUUCUAUGGCUAUUGAUCUUCUGAAGAAAUUCUUGUUAUAUGGGAAUGUCUUCUAAUUCUGGUGUUGGAUGAAAGCAUUGGUAGUCUGACUGGUUUAUAAUUUAUAUUGCUCUAUUUCAUCGGGGUAUUCUGUAUUUUCUCUAUGAGUUUGGUUUUCGAUUUUCUGGCAUAAUAUCGUAUCUUGGGUUUCUUUAUCCUGGAUCUCUUUAUUCUGGAUUUCUUUAUUCUGGGUUUCUCUAUCUUGGAUUUCUUUAUUCGG